GUAUAAGAAACAGCAGCAGCCACGGGAAUACAUAGGGUGCGAGCGUUAAUCGGAUUUACUGGGCGUAAAGCGUGCGUAGGCGGCUUCUUAAGUCGGAUGUGAAAUCCCUGAGCUUAACUUAGGAAUUGCAUUCGAUACUGGGAAGCUAGAGUAUGGGAGAGGAUGGUAGAAUUCCAGGUGUAGCGGUGAAAUGCGUAGAGAUCUGGAGGAAUACCGAUGGCGAAGGCAGCCAUCUGGCCUAAUACUGACGCUGAGGUACGAAAGCAUGGGGAGCAAACAGGAUUAGAUACCCGCGUAGUCCCUGUCUCUUAUAC
rnacentral:rRNA from 1 species